UGUUUAGACGGGACAAUUCCAACAAGUGACUGGUGCAAGUGUAACAACUGUGACACAAGUUUGCUGCAGAAUGUGUACGAGGCUCAAUGUUGCCAGGAAAUAGACAGAUGCACCAAGGCACUGUGUUCAGAUGAAGUGCUCCAAGAUGUCGAAACACCACCUACUUGUGUGUUACAUCACCCAGGAUUUCGAAUUAAUUGCCUGGAGAAAUGGUCCUUAAGAAUGGCUGCACCAAAAUACAAAACUAAAAGUCGUAGAAGAUAUCGCCAACAAGGAUCAGAAGAAACAUACUUGCGGUCAAUAGCAUACAGAGAAUUUUCUCAGCUUGUUUAUGGAAUACUGGGUCGACUGCGAAUACCCUUACCAGCUUGUGCAUAUAAUGCAAUUCGCACAAAAUUUCUAACACAUGAUGAAGCAUUUACUGGAUUUGAUGAAGAUAUAUCAGACUAAUAAACAAUUAUCAUGAAUUAAAGUUCAUUUUUUAUUAAAUUUUUUACUAUGGAGUUAUUUCUUGCUUUUGCAUGACUCUGUUUGGGA